CCAAUAGCGUAUAUUAAAGUUGUUGCAGUUAAAAAGCUCGUAGUUGAAUUUCGGGAUCAGUACGCUGGUCGUGCCUUGGUAUGUACUGGUGUUACUGGUUCCUACCUUCUGACGAACCGUCAUGUCAUUAAUUUGGUGUGGCGGGGAAUCAGGACUGUUACUUUGAAAAAAUUAGAGUGUUUAAAGCAGGCUCGCGCUUGAAUACAUUAGCAUGGAAUAAUGAAAUAGGACGUUCGAUCCUAUUUUGUUGGUUUCUAGGAUUGACGUAAUGAUUAAUAGGGAUAGUUGGGGGCAUUAGUAUUCAAUUGUCAGAGGUGAAAUUCUUGGAUUUAUUGAAGACUAACUACUGCGAAAGCAUUUGCCAAGGAUGUUUUCAUUAAUCAAGAACGAAAGUUAGGGGAUCGAAGACGAUCAGAUACCGUCGUAGUCUUAACCAUAAACUAUGCCGACUAGGGAUCGGAUGAUGUUAAUUUUUUAAUGACUCAUUCGGCGCCUUACG
rnacentral:rRNA from 1 species